rnacentral:rRNA from 1 species
GAUGAACGCUGGCGGCGUGCCUAAUACAUGCAAGUCGAGCGAACAGAUAAGGAGCUUGCUCCUUUGACGUUAGCGGCGGACGGGUGAGUAACACGUGGGUAACCUACCUAUAAGACUGGAAUAACUCCGGGAAACCGGGGCUAAUGCCGGAUAACAUGUUGAACCGCAUGGUUCAACAGUGAAACGCGGCUUUGCCGUCACUUAUAGAUGGACCCGCGCCGUAUUGGUUAGUUGGUGAGGUAACGGCCCACCAAGGCAACGAUCCGUAGCCGACCUGAGAGGGUGAUCGGCCACACUGGAACUGAGACACGGUCCAGACUCCUACGGGAGGCAGCAGUAGGGAAUCUUCCGCAAUGGGCGAAAGCCUGACGGAGCAACGCCGCGUGAGUGAUGAAGGUCUUCGGAUCGUAAAACUCUGUUAUUAGGGAAGAACAAAUGCGUAAGUAACUGUGCGCGUCUUGACGGUACCUAAUCAGAAAGCCACGGCUAACUACGUG